rnacentral:pre_miRNA from 1 species
GAUUUCAACUGAAAAAGUCAUCAAUAACAAAGUUGUAUAAAUCAUCAAUAUCUAUAACUUUUAUUUUGGUCAUUUCUUCAUCCGACAAAGUAAUAGUAAUAUUAUUUACAAAAUUUACAUAUCUCUCUCAUAGUUUAUAAACAAUAUAAGAGAUAUGUACAUUUUGUGAACAAUGUUACAAUUUGCUUUGUCAGAUGAAAAAAUGACCCAAAUAAAAGUUAUAGAUCUUGAUGAGUUAUACUACUUUGUUAUUGAUGACUUUUUUAGUUGAAAUC